ACGAUUAAGAUGGAAUACCCGUUG
rnacentral:siRNA from 1 species